rnacentral:rRNA from 1 species
CCUACGGGAGGCAGCAGUGGGGAAUAUUGCACAAUGGGGGAAACCCUGAUGCAGCGACGCCGCGUGAGUGAAGAAGUAUUUCGGUACGUAAAGCUCUAUCAGCAGGGAAGAAAAUGACGGUACCUGACUAAGAAGCCCCGGCUAACUACGUGCCAGCAGCCGCGGUAAUACGUAGGGGGCAAGCGUUAUCCGGAUUUACUGGGUGUAAAGGGAGCAUAGACGGCAGCGCAAGUCUGGAGUGAAAUCCCAUGGCUUAACCAUGGAACUGCGUUGGAAACUGUGCAGCUAGAGUGCAGGAGUUGUAAGCGGAAUUCCUAGUGUAGCGGUGAAAUGCGUAGAUAUUAGGAGGAACACCAGUGGCGAAGGCGGCUUACUGGACUGUAACUGACGUUGAGGCUCGAAAGCGUGGGGAGCAAACAGGAUUAGAUACCCUAGUAGUC